ACCCCCAGCUUGCUGGGGUGAUUAGUGGCGAACGGGUGAGUAACACGUGAGUAACCUGCCCCUGACUCUGGGAUAAGCCCGGGAAACUGGGUCUAAUACUGGAUAUGCACCGUGGACCGCAUGGUCCUUGGUGGAAAGAUUUUUUGGUCAGGGAUGGACUCGCGGCCUAUCAGCUUGUUGGUGAGGUAAUGGCUCACCAAGGCGACGACGGGUAGCCGGCCUGAGAGGGUGACCGGCCACACUGGGACUGAGACACGGCCCAGACUCCUACGGGAGGCAGCAGUGGGGAAUAUUGCACAAUGGGCGAAAGCCUGAUGCAGCGACGCCGCGUGAGGGAUGACGGCCUUCGGGUUGUAAACCUCUUUCAGUAGGGAAGAAGCGAAAGUGACGGUACCUGCAGAAGAAGCGCCGGCUAACUACGUGCCAGCAGCCGCGGUAAUACGUAGGGCGCAAGCGUUAUCCGGAAUUAUUGGGCGUAAAGAGCUCGUAGGCGGUUUGUCGCGUCUGCCGUGAAAGUCCGAGGCUCAACCUCGGAUCUGCGGUGGGUACGGGCAGACUAGAGUGAUGUAGGGGAGACUGGAAUUCCUGGUGUAGCGGUGAAAUGCGCAGAUAUCAGGAGGAACACCGAUGGCGAAGGCAGGUCUCUGGGCAUUAACUGACGCUGAGGAGCGAAAGCAUGGGGAGCGAACAGGAUUAGAUACCCUGGUAGUCCAUGCCGUAAACGUUGGGCACUAGGUGUGGGGGACAUUCCACGUUUUCCGCGCCGUAGCUAACGCAUUAAGUGCCCCGCCUGGGGAGUACGGCCGCAAGGC
rnacentral:rRNA from 1 species